GGGGGCGUACUGGUUUCGACGGGGGUACGUGACAUAUAGGAAGCGAGUAGAGGGAACUCAUGGGCCCGCUUUAAAAAACUAUGGGAUUAAAGAUAAACGCAGAAGACAAUUUUG
rnacentral:tmRNA from 1 species